rnacentral:rRNA from 1 species
UACGUAGGGUGCAGGCGUUAAUCGGAAUUACUGGGCGUAAAGCGUGCGUAGACGGCUAUCUAAGUCGGGUGUGAAAGCCCCGGGCUCAACCUGGGAAUUGCAUUCGAGACUGAAUAGCUAGGGUACGGUAGAGGGAAGCGGAAUUUCCGGUGUAGCGGUGAAAUGCGUAGAUAUCGGAAGGAACAUCAGUGGCGAAAGCGGCUUCCUGGACCAGUACCGACGUUCAGGCACGAAAGCGUGGGGAGCAAACAGG